AUCACUAAACUAAAUGAUACUUUGUACAUUAAUUACUGAAACUAAUAUAUAUUAUGAAGUAUUUCUUAUAGCGGAUCCCACACAUAACUGUAAUGUUUCAAUACUCACGUGUAACUUUGAUCAUCGAAACUUAUUUAGUAAAAUCCGCAUUAUGGUCCAAUAAAACUUAUAAGUGGGCUAAAUCUCUUUUGUAUGUAUCUAGGAUUUUUAUAGUACUCUGUCUCCACCGAUAAACCGAAGCGUUACCCUUUUAGCUUAUCAAAAAAAAACUAUGAAACUUUUCAUCUUCACCUCUCUAUAUCUCCAACGAUCAGUUAUGGUACCGUUUCAUCUCUGAAACGAUCCGUCUCAGUAUAUAUAAUUCCUCAAAC
rnacentral:lncRNA from 1 species